AAGAAAUCAGUUCAGCACUAAGUCACUUUGUCUUUAUGGCAAAUGUGAGAUGCAGUGUAUGGAAUGUUCAAUUUCUAGUAUGAGAAAUUAACGAUUUAAGUCCUUCUUAAAUGAGGCCAUUUACCCAUAGAGGGUGCCAGGCCCGUAUAACGUUAAUGAUUACUAGAGAAUAUUUCCAAAGAGUCGUGUUGCUUGAUAGUGCAGCACUAAGUGGGUGGUAAACUCCAUCUAAAACUAAAUAUAACCAUGAGACCGAUAGUAAACAAGUACCGUGAGGGAAAGUUGAAAAGAACUCUGAAUAGAGAGUUAAAUAGUACGUGAAACUGCUUAGAGGUUAAGCCCGAUGAACCUGAAUAUCCAUUAUGGAAAAUUCAUCAUUAUGAUUGUGAUAUGAAUAAUAUUAUAAUAAUGGUGUGCAUUUUUUCCAUAUAAGGACAUUGUAAUCUAUUAAUAUGCCAUUAUUUAUCAUAAGAUCGAUGACUUUAGUUUAUUCAAAUUAUUUUGCUUGCAAUUUAACAUAGAAUAAAUGUUGUCGAUUUGAUAAAGUGUUGAUAGAUUUAUUAUAUAUAGUGCUUGAAUAUUUAUAUUCUAUAAUAGCAUGAUAAUCAUUGAUUUUUGUGUUUAUUAUAUGCACUUAUAUGAUUAACAAUGCGAAAGAUUCAGGAUACCUUCGGGACCCGUCUUGAAACACGGACCAAGGAGUCUAACAUAUUUGCAAGUUAUUGGGAAUUAAAAACCUAAUAGCGAAAUUAACAUAACUUAUAUAAUGGGAUUAGUUUUUAGUGCUUUUUAAGUCUAUUAAUUCAAUCCCGGGGCGUUCUAUACAGUUAUGUAUAAUGAUACUUGUAUUAUUUAUACCUCUAACUAGAGCGUACCUUGAGCAUAUAUGCUGUGACCCGAAAGAUGGUGAACUAUACUUGAUCAGGUUGAAGUCAGGGGAAACCCUGAUGGAAGACCGAAACAGUUCUGACGUGCAAAUCGAUUGUCAGAAUUGAGUAUAGGGGCGAAAGACCAAUCGAACCAUCUAGUAGCUGGUUCCCUCCGAAGUUUCCCUCAGGAUAGCUGGUGCAUUUAAAAAUUAUGUAAAAUAAUCUUAUCUGGUAAAGCGAAUGAUUAGAGGCCUUAGGGUCGAAACGACCUUAACCUAUUCUCAAACUUUAAAUGGGUAAGAACCUCACCUUUCUUGGUAUGAAGGUUGUGGUUGUGAUAUAAUGUGCCCAGUGGGCCACUUUUGGUAAGCAGAACUGGCGCUGUGGGAUGAACCAAACGUAAUGUUACGGUGCCCAAAUUGACAACUCAUGCAGAUACCAUGAAAGGCGUUGGUUGCUUAAAACAGCAGGACGGUGGACAUGGAAGUCGUAAUCCGCUAAGGAGUGUGUAACAACUCACCUGCCGAAGCAACUAGCCCUUAAAAUGGAUGGCGCUUAAGUUGUAUACCUAUACAUUACCGCUAAAGUAAAUGGUUUAUGUUCAAUUUCGGUUGGAUUAUAAACUUUGAAACUUUAGUGAGUAGGAGGGUACAAUGGUGUGCAUGGAAGUGUUUGGCGUAAGCCUGCAUGGAGCCGCCAUUGGUACAGAUCUUGGUGGUAGUAGCAAAUAAUCGAAUGAGACCUUGGAGGACUGAAGUGGAGAAGGGUUUCGUGUGAACAGUGGUUGAUCACGAGUUAGUCGGUCCUAAGUUCAAGGCGAAAGCCGAACAUUUUCAAGUUAUAAUCUAACAAUGUAACACGCUUUACACUUGUAAUUAAACACUUGAAUUUUUUUGAACGAAAGGGAAUACGGUUCCAAUUCCGUAACCUGUUGAGUAUCCGUUUGUUAUUAAAUAUGGGCCUUGUGCUCAUCCUGGCAACAGGAACGACCAUAAAGAAGCCGUCGAGAGAUAUCGGAAGAGUUUUCUUUUCUGUUUAACAGUCGUACUACCAUGGAAGUCUUUCGAAGAGAGAUAUGGUAGAUGGAUCUGGAAGAGCAUGACAUUUACUGUUGUGUCGAUAUUUUCUCCUCGGACCUUGAAAAUUUAUGGUGGGGUCACGCAAACUUCUCAACAGGCCGUACCAAUAUCCGCAGCUGGUCUCCAAGGUGAAGAGUCUCUAGUC
rnacentral:rRNA from 1 species